AACAAUCUCAUAGGUACUAUCCCUGCUUCUCUUGGAAACUUAACCAAACUCAUGUUUUUAUUAUUGUUCUCGAAUAAGUUGAGUGGUUCCAUUCCUUUUGAAAUAAACAAUCAAACUCACUUAAAACGAUUUGAUUUAUCAGACAACCAUUUCACCGGUCAUUUGCCUGAAAAUCUGUGCCUUGGUGGAUUUCUUGAGAGAUUCAUCGCAAGCGAUAAUCAUUUUAUUGGUUCAAUACCAAAAUCAUUGAGAAAUUGCACUAGCCUUAUCAGAGUCCGACUUCAGGGAAAUCAACUUAGUGGAAAUAUAGGAGACAAUUUCGGAGUAUACCCACACUUAGUAUACAUGGAGUUGAGUUAUAAUAAAUUUUACGGUGAACUUUCAAUUAAUUGGGGGCAAUGUCAAAACUUGACAAGCUUGAAAAUCUCUAACAAUGAUAUUUCAGGUAGAAUAUCUCCUAACCUUGGAGAUGCAAGUCAAUUACAUUUACUUGACCUUUCCUCAAAUAAGCUAUAUGGGGAGAUUCCAAAGGAAUUAGGUAAGCUAACAUUUUUGAUAGAGCUUAAUCUAGGCAAUAACAAAUUUUUUGGACAUGUUCCUUAUAAUUUUGGGAUGCUAUCAAAUUUGGAGGGGCUCAAUCUUUCUAGAAAUAGUCUAAGUGGCCUAAUUCCCGAACUUGGGAACUGUAAAAAAUUGUGGAUGUUGGAUUUGAGCAAUAAUCACUUAAGCAAAUAUAUCCCACUUCAAAUUGGAAACAUGCACUUUCUCCAAUAUCUUGAUCUUAGCCUAAAUUUUUUAAUCGGAGAGAUACCACAACAACUUGGAGAUUUGAAAACAUUAGAAUUUUUAAAUCUUUCUCACAAUGCACUCUCGGGCUCUAUUCCAUCCAAUUUUGAUCAAAUGUUAAGCUUACGAUACAUUGAUUUGUCCUACAAUCAGCUAGAGGGUCCUAUUCCAAAUAUUAAAGCAUUUCGUGAGGCAACGGUAGAAGCAUUUAGAAAUAACAAGGGCUUGUGUGGCAAUGCCACAGGUUUGAAGGCUUGCCCCUCUACAAUUAGCCAUAAUUCACAUGUCAAAAAGAGGAAUAAAGUUAUGAAACUAAUUUUAGUGUUUUUGGGCGUUUUCUUUCUAAUAUUUAUCAUUGUUGGAAUUACAAUCUGUUUUCGCUCAAGGAAGAUGAAGAUAGAAAUUAAGCCAAAAGAAGAAGAACAUCAAAAUAUGUUUGUAGUAUGGAGCUUUGAUGGGAAAAUGGUUUAUGAAAAAAUUAUUGAAGCAACAGAGGAUUUUGAUGACAAACAUAUUAUUGGUGUAGGUGGCCAUGGAAUUGUUUAUAAAGCUGAAUUGUCUACAGGUCAAGUUGUUGCUGUAAAGAAACUUCACCCACUCUCAGAAGAUAGUGUGGUCAAUCUAAAAGCUUUCACUAGUGAGAUACAUAGUCUAACAGAAAUACGACACCGCAACAUUAUAAAGCUUCAUGGUUUUUGCUCACAUCCACGACACUUGCUUUUAGUUUAUCAGUUCUUGGAAGGUGGGAGCUUGGAAAAGAUACUAAACAAUGAUGAAUUAGCACUGGAGUUUGAUUGGAUUAAAAGGGUAAAUGUUGUUAAAGGUGUGGCAAGUGCUCUAUCUUAUAUUCAUCAUGAUUGCUCCAAUCCAAUAAUUCAUCGUGAUAUAUCAAGCAAGAAUGUUCUACUAGAUUCAGAAUAUGAAUCUCAUGUCUCUGACUUUGGCACAGCUAGGAUUAUGAGUUCUGACACAUCUUAUUGGACUUCAUUUGCUGGUACCUUUGGAUACACUGCUCCAGAGAAUGCAUACACAAUGGAAGUGAGUGAAAAGUGUGACGUUUACAGCUUUGGAGUAGUCGUGCUGGAAGUAAUUAUGGGAAGGCAUCCGGGUGAUUUGAUCUCAUCAUUUCUAUCAUCAUCAUUUUCAUCAUCGUCCCAUGAUGUGCUACUAGAAGAUAUAUUGGAUCAACGUCUUGCACAUCCUACAAAUAGAGUUGCAGAGAAGGUGGUUUUAGUGGCAAAGAUAGCAAUAGCAUGCUUACAAGCCAGUCCACAAUCUCGUCCGACCAUGCAACAAGUUUAUCAGAAGCUAUUAAAUUGGAAAUCCCCUUUUACAAAGCCUUUGCGCAUGAUCACAUUAAGAGAGCUCAUUGAUCUCGGGAAUUUGAAUGAAGCUUCAUAAGUGUCUACAUAUCUCAUGUAUGAUAUUUUGCUUAUAUACAUUCCAUCCUCAUGUAAAGUUCUAAAUACUUAUGACGCCAAUAGUUCAAAAACCAUAAUUCGCAUGACUAUUCAUAUUCGGCAGCUUCAUUGUUCAUCUUCGACCCAUCCAAGCCUCCAUCUUACUGUCGGAGCUUCCAUGCCUCUUGACCUAAGCUCUUCAACCUAAUUGGAAGCCGAGCUCUCUCUUUUUUGUGGUCCUAAAGCUCUCAAGGUGUGGGAAACAUGGUUGGUUAAGGUCAAUCAGAACACUGGCUUCGAACUUAUCAUGGUAUCUUCACACUUGCUCUCAUUGUUUCUGACCACAUAACUCAUCCACAAGACUGGAAUAAAAACAGGACUUCCCCUCUCCUUGUUCUACUCUCCAAAACAUGCCAAAAGUAAUUCGUUUAGGCCUAUGGCAAUGUAAAAUGGGAUUCCGUACAUCUAGACAAUUAUGCAUUGAAACUUUCUUCCAAUGGGAAUGAAAUGAAAAAAACUCAAAAGGAAAGGCCAAGGAAACAGGCAAAACUGAGCUACAAUGGGGAGCCUUAAUUUAAAUAGGCAGCAAUGGAGGGAAGAGGUUAACUAGUGGAAGCAAGGGAAGCAUUGCGCAUGAAUUACCUACUUUGAUUGAUUGAGAUCCUUUUACAGCCCAGAUGUUUGGGGUGCAGGUGAACCAAGCCUAAGAAGAUUGGAAUUCAAAAACACUAGGAGCAUGCAAUUUGUAUCCAAGUUCAUGAAAAAUGAUUUGCUUAUUUAAAAACAAAAAUUUGUAUGAAACACAUGGCUAGACUUGGACAAGCUAUCAAGACAAACUUAAAUGCCCU